UGAUCCUACGGGGGGCAGCAGUGGGGAAUCUUCCGCAAUGGGCGCAAGCCUGACGAAGCAAUGCCGCGUGAACGAAGAAGGUCUUCGGAUUGUAAAGUUCUGUCCUUAUCGAAGAGAGGGUAUAGAGUGAAAAAUGAUAUACUAGGACGGUAGAUGAGGAGGAAGCCCCGGCUAACUACGUGCCAGCAGCCGCGGUAAUACGUAGGGGGCGAGCGUUGUCCGGAAUCACUGGGCGUAAAGAGUGCGUAGGCGGGGUAAUAAGUCAGAUGUGAAAUCCUGUAGCUUAACUACAGAAAUGCAUUUGA
rnacentral:rRNA from 1 species